rnacentral:rRNA from 1 species
UACGGAGGAUGCGAGCGUUAUCCGGAUUUAUUGGGUUUAAAGGGUGCGUAGGUUGUUUUUUAAGUCAGCGGUGAAAGUUUGUGGCUCAACCAUAAAAUUGCCGUUGAAACUGGCUGUCUUGAGAUGUCGAGAGGUAUGCGGAAUGCGCAGUGUAGCGGUGAAAUGCUUAGAUAUCACGCAGAACUCCGAUUGCGAAGGCAGCAUACCGGCGCCCGACUGACGCUGAGGCACGAAAGCGUGGGGAUCGAACAGG